rnacentral:rRNA from 1 species
UACGUAGGGGGCAAGCGUUGUCCGGAAUCAUUGGGCGUAAAGAGCGUGUAGGCGGCCUGAUAAGUCGGCUGUGAAAGUCAAGGGCUCAACCCUUGAAUGCCGGCCGAUACUGUCAGGCUAGAGUCCGGAAGAGGCGAGUGGAAUUCCUGGUGUAGCGGUGAAAUGCGCAGAUAUCAGGAGGAACACCUAUGGCGAAGGCAGCUCGCUGGGACGGUACUGACGCUGAGACGCGAAAGUGUGGGGAGCAAACAGG